GAUGAACGCUGGCGGCGUGCCUAAUACAUGCAAGUCGAGCGAACAGAUGAGGAGCUUGCUCCUCUGACGUUAGCGGCGGACGGGUGAGUAACACGUGGAUAACCUACCUAUAAGACUGGGAUAACUUCGGGAAACCGGAGCUAAUACCGGAUAAUAUAUUGAACCGCAUGGUUCAAUAGUGAAAGACGGUUUUGCUGUCACUUAUAGAUGGAUCCGCGCCGCAUUAGCUAGUUGGUAAGGUAACGGCUUACCAAGGCAACGAUGCGUAGCCGACCUGAGAGGGUGAUCGGCGACACUGGAACUGAGACACGGUCCAGACUCCUACGGGAGGCAGCAGUAGGGGAUCUUCCGCAAUGGGCGAAAGCCUGACGGAGCAGCGCCGCGUGAGUGAUGAAGGUCUUCGGAUCGUAAAACUCUGUUAUUAGGGAAGAACAAAUGUGUAAGUAACUAUGCACGUCUUGACGGUACCUAAUCAGAAAGCCACGGCUAACUACGUG
rnacentral:rRNA from 1 species